rnacentral:misc_RNA from 1 species
UUUUGGGGGAGAAGAGAGAGAGUUUGAACCAUUAGAAAAUAUAACCAAAAACAAAAGAUAGCAAGCAGACAUCAAGGAAGCAGCCAUAAACUAACACUGAAAUUAAACAGCUCGGCAUAGCUUUUACCUAUAGGAUCACACAGCUCCUGAGUGAAAUAUAUACACUCGGUUUAUGCCAAGGAGAUAUAUAUAUACCGAUACAAGAUGAAGAACAAAAGAAACAAUUAACAAACUCUGAAGAAAGGCAUGACCUUCCCUUUGCCUUUGUGACUUGCCUUUUGCCGGCCCCCACUUCCACCCCAUGAAGGGAGAGAGGGAGGGGAACUGAAGGGGGUUACCAUUAUCCAACGCAUGAAGUUCCCAUCUUCUUCUUUUUUCUUUUCCUCCGCAUGGUGUGUCAAAACCUUGUUACUUCAGAGAGAGCAAGAAAAGAACUAGGAGUAGCAUUUGCAUUGCUUCUUCUCUUUCCAGUGUUCCAUGUAUAUAUAAUGGCCUUUGGACACAAGAGCCCUAACAGUGUCAAUUCAAUUUGAUACUUGAAAAUGGUCCACAAAGGCAUAUUAUUCCUCUUAUUGGGUCAUGCUUAUCCCACUAAGAAUAUUAUUCUUCUUCUAUCUUCACAUAAAUUACACUAGUAGUUUAUCUACAUCAAGAAUCAAGACAUCUAAACAGGGAGAGCCCAGUCAUUUUUCAUGUGAUGAAGAAAAGCUAAAGAAAUUGAAUAAUCAAUAGAGAACAGGUGGAAGGCUCCUCCUCCAAAGAGGUUAUCAAAUUAUAAAUAAUUGGAAAAGUAGCAUAGGAGAGUACCCUAAAGACUAAAGAGAGAAUAUGGAA